UACGGGGGGGGUAAGCGUUGUUCGGAAUUACUGGGCGUAAAGGGCUCGUAGGCGGCUUGGCAAGUCGGGUGUGAAACCUCCAGGCUCAACCUGGAGACGCCACUCGAUACUGCCAUGGCUAGAGUCCGGUAGGGGACCACGGAAUUCCUGGUGUAGCGGUGAAAUGCGCAGAUAUCAGGAGGAACACCGGUGGCGAAGGCGGUGGUCUGGGCCGGCACUGACGCUGAGGAGCGAAAGCGUGGGUAGCAAACAGG
rnacentral:rRNA from 1 species